GGUCAAGGUCAUGCCUGCACCUUACCUGUAAGGGUCCUGAAGCCAUGGAUGACCCAUGUGUGCUUUAGAUUUUUUUCUGGAAGCCCUGAAGGCACCCUUGAAAAUUGAGUGUGUUGUGGAACAGACCUAUGUUAGGACUCAUGGCUGUUGUGAUGCUGCUCCCUUCUGGACACACUGUCAUUUUCUAAGAUUGGCACUUAGUGGAUGAGCAAAGAACUGGUUAGCUUGACCCAUUAAGGAGAGGAAGCCUUGGCUACAUUCACAGCAAAGCAGUAUCUAGCAGAAGUACUGGUCAUAGUACUGUACAAUGCCAUCAUGUUGAUAGUGAAGAGCCCACUGAGAGUGCUGAUAGUCCUGAUGUCUUGUUCCAGAUCUCACCGUCUCUUUCUACUUGGUGGCAUGUAAAUAGUUGUGGUCUGGGGCUGGGAUGUAACUCAGUGGUAGAGCACAUGCCUAACGUACAUGAGGCCCUGAGAUCCCCAGCACCCCCCCACACACACACACACAAAGGUACAGCAGAUGCACACUGAAGGAACUUGUAGGUGGUGGGCCUUUUAGGAUUCCCUCAUUCUGUGUAUGUUUUGGUAGUGAACUCAGUUUACUAUUAUAAUGAUGACAUUUUUGUCUCCCUGCGACUCUGUUGUUCCAAAGGAAAUAUUUAAAACUGCCUCGGUAAAAUUGAAA
rnacentral:lncRNA from 1 species